rnacentral:rRNA from 1 species
UACGUAGGUGGCAAGCGUUAUCCGGAUUUAUUGGGCGUAAAGGGAACGCAGGCGGUCUUUUAAGUCUGAUGUGAAAGCCUUCGGCUUAACCAUAGUAUGCUUUGGAAACUGUUCAACUUGAGUGCAGAAGGGGAGGGUGGAAUUCCAUGUGUAGCGGUGGAAUGCGUAGAUAUAUGGAGGAACACCGGUGGCGAAAGCGGCUCUCUGGUCUGUAACUGACGCUGAGGCUCGAAAGCGUGGGUAGCGAACAGG